ACACUUACCUGGCAGAGGAGAUGCAUGAUCAUGAAGGUGGUUUGCCCAGGGCAAGGCUUGUUUGUCCAUUGCGCUCCGGAUAUGCUGACCCUGCAAUUUUCCCAAAUGUGGAAAACUCAACUGUGUAACUUGUGGUAGUGGGGGAA
rnacentral:snRNA from 1 species